rnacentral:rRNA from 1 species
UACGGAGGGGGCUAGCGUUGUUCGGAAUUACUGGGCGUAAAGCGCACGUAGGCGGCUUUGUAAGUUAGAGGUGAAAGCCCGGGGCUCAACUCCGGAAUUGCCUUUAAGACUGCAUCGCUAGAAUUGUGGAGAGGUAAGUGGAAUUCCGAGUGUAGAGGUGAAAUUUCGUAGAUAUUCGGAAGAAACACCAGUGGCGAAGGCGACUUACUGGACACAUAUUGACGCUGAGGUGCGAAAGCGUGGGGAGCAAACAGG